GACGAACGCUGGCGGCGUGCUUAACACAUGCAAGUCGAACGGAAAGGCACUGCUUUUGUCGGCUGCUCGAGUGGCGAACGGACGAGUAACUAGUGCGUAACCUACCUUUGCCUUAGAGGGAACUAACGGAAGGUGACGCUAACUCCUGCUACAUGCUCCCGCUGCACGGUGGGGGUUGGAGAGUUGCGGCGGCUGGGGAUGGACUCGCGGCGUAUCAGCUUGUUGGUGGGGUAGUGGCUUCGCAAGGCUUUGAAGGGUAGCCGGCCUGAGAGGGUGACCGGCCACAGUGGGACAGGGAUACGGGCCGUAGCCCUACGGGAGGCAGCAGUGGGGAAUUUUGCACGAAGGGCGGAAGGCGGGUGCAGGAACGCCGCGUUCGGGAUCACGGCCUUCGGGGUGGAAACCGCUUCCGGCGGUGACGGAGCGUGAGUGACGGUAAUGGGUAAAGAAGCACCGGCUAACUACGUG
rnacentral:rRNA from 1 species